GAUGAACGCUAGCGACAGGCUUAACACAUGCAAGUCGAGGGGCAGCAUAAAAUCAGCUUGCUGAUUUUGAUGGCGACCGGCGCACGGGUGAGUAACAAGUAUGCAAUCUGCCCAUAGAUGGGGGAUAACCCGGAGAAAUCCGGCCUAAUACCCCAUAGUACAUAUUUACUGCAUGGUAAUUAUGUUAAAGAUGUAUUGUCUAUGGAUGGGCAUGCUUUCCAUUAGGUAGUCGGCGGGGUAACGGCCCACCGAGCCUACGAUGGAUAGGGGCACUGGGAGGUUUGUCCCCCACACCGGUACUGAGACACGGACUGGACUCCUACGGGAGGCAGCAGUGAGGAAUAUUGGUCAAUGGGCGAGAGCCUGAACCAGCCAAGUCGCGUGAAGGAUGAAGGUAUUAUGUAUUGUAAACUUCUUUUAUGGGGGAAUAAAAAGCGGGAUGUAUCCUGUAUUGCAUGUACCCUAUGAAUAAGCAUCGGCUAACUCCGUGCCAGCCGCCGCAGUAA
rnacentral:rRNA from 1 species